UACGUAGGUUGCAAGCGUUGUCCGGAUUUAUUGGGCGUAAAGCGCGUGUAGGCGGUUUGGUAAGUCUGCCGUGAAAUCGCCCGGCUCAACUGGGCGGGUGCGGUGGCGACUGCCGGACUGGAAGGACUCAGAGGCCGGUGGAAUUCCCGGUGUAGUGGUGAAAUGCGUAGAGAUCGGGAGGAACACCAGUGGCGAAGGCGGCCGGCUGGGGGUGCCCUGACGCUGAGGCGCGAAAGCGUGGGGAGCGAACCGG
rnacentral:rRNA from 1 species